UGUGAGGCAUGAGCUGACACCAGGGCA
rnacentral:piRNA from 1 species